rnacentral:tRNA from 1 species
GGAGGGUACAGCUCAGUGGUAGAGCGUGUGCCUAGCAUGCAUGAGGUCCUGGGUUCAAUCCCCAGGACCUCCA